rnacentral:rRNA from 1 species
UACAGAGGUGGCAAGCGUUGUUCGGAAUUACUGGGCGUAAAGGGCGCGUAGGCGGUUCGUUAAGUCCUGUGUGAAAGCCCUCGGCUCAACCGGGGAAGUGCACCCGAAACUGCAAAGCUAGAGUCUCGGAGAGGAUCGUGGAAUUCUCGGUGUAGAGGUGAAAUUCGUAGAUAUCGAGAGGAACACCGGUGGCGAAGGCGGCGAUCUGGACGAUGACUGACGCUGAGACGCGAAAGCGUGGGGAGCAAACAGG